UACGGAGGGUGCGAGCGUUAAUCGGAAUUACUGGGCGUAAAGGGUGCGUAGGUGGUUUAAUAAGAUAGCUGUGAAAAGCCUGGGCUCAACCCAGGUCAGUCAGCUGUGACUGUUAGACUAGAGUAUAGGAGAGGGUAGUGGAAUUUCCGGUGUAGCGGUGAAAUGCGUAGAGAUCGGAAGGAACACCAGUGGCGAAGGCGGCUACCUGGCCGGAUACUGACACUGAAGCACGAAAGCGUGGGGAGCCAAACAGG
rnacentral:rRNA from 1 species